rnacentral:lncRNA from 1 species
CAGGUUCUCUAAGAGCCUUUGAUCAGAGCAGCAAACGGGGUUUCUUUCAUCAACCCAGAGGCUCCCUGGUGCUGGGGUCCACCUCUCUGUCAAACUGGGGAUACGCAAGGUUGUGAAUGACAACUUCCUCAUUAAACAAAGGAGUCUGCCUCCCUCCAUCUCUUCUGGGACCGGAUGGACUCGUAGACCUGUGUGUCAUAGGGAGAUAUUGCAGGACAGUACUGUCUGUAUUUCGUGGGACCUGCCUACAUAGGUGAAUGACCUUUCACCUCACAGAGGGAACAAUUGCCCUCUGAACAGUAGUAGCAAGGGUCCAGAGAAUGGUUGGACUGGAGCUGCUGGGCUCAAGAGGAGAUCGUACAUGUGAGUCCAUUUCAGAGGAUUAGCAAUGCCAAGUCCAGCACUUACUGGAAGACACACCCUCGUUGAGAAACACUGAGAUGUAUUUCUGUGGUGAUUCUGAAGCCAACCAUGCUGACAAAGAUUCACCUUGGUGACAAGCCUAAGUGUUCAUUCCCUUAGCUUCUCGCCAUCUUCAAUUCCUGAAUAUACCCAGAAGGUCAGAGAGGCCGAGGAACAUCGAAGGUACCAACACGUGUCUGUCUUUGCAUCCAGAUGUAAUUGGUGUGAAUUACAGCACCCGCUAUUAUUUUGGGAGUAGGAAAAACCGGAGACAAGAUCCCCCUCACCAUGUUCUUUUGAGGUCAAAAAGUCCUAGAAAGUACAGAGCUCCUGUCCUGAUGAGAACCAUUGCCCGUGACCAGAAGGGUCUGGGACAGUAGAGGCAAUCACGUGCACAAUGUAGAAUUACAGAAAGGAUAACACUCAGAAUAACAUAAAGGUAGCUAACCUGAGUGGUAGGCAUCAGUGACUGCCAGCAUUGUGAUAUCUGAGGCAGGAGGAUAAUAAAUUCAGACUGCCCAGGCUACAUUAUGAUUUGAACAGAAGCCUGUGAAGAAUCCACGAGACCCCAUCUCAAAAUAAACUCUGAAACCGUAAGAAGGCUGGAUACAUAACAUAGCACUCAAGUGCCUCUCUAUGAGUUCAAGGCCAGCCUGGUCUACAUAGUUGGCACAGUAUGCUUGAGGUCCCA